rnacentral:piRNA from 1 species
UGCCAGCAUUCGAACCCAAACUUCUCUAGC